GACUUCGUGUUUUUUCCACACACUCAUUGUCUUUCUCUUUCUCUUUCCCAUCUCUGCUCGCUCGCUCUCCCUUUCUCUUUUCUCUCCUUCAGCGACAAAAUCCCCCCUCUUACUCACAAUCUUAAUCAUAAUUUCCUUCCUCAAAACCCCGAAACCUCCCUAGAUUCUCUUCGAAUCCCUACCCUUCAUCCAGAAAUUCAGGGCCAAGACAAUUGCAGUCAAGUACAACGGCGCCGCCAUGAAAGAGGACACCAUCCAGGCCACGGAUAGCCUCAUCUCUACAGCGCCUUCGCCUCUUCAUCUUCCCGCUCAAACCUCCGUUCAGAUCCAGUCCCUGGAAGGAUUCUCUCCCAAAGACAAUGGUUUUUUAAUUUGGGCGUUUAGGGUUCUUCUGGUUUUGGGAUUUGUCUGGUUUCAUUUUGCUCAUGAUUUUUAUUUUUGCAGAAUUGGUUAGCAGUGAUAGAUUUGUUCCUCUUCGACCCACUUUCAGAAUCCACAAGGCCUCCUUCUUUAACAAUGACCUCCUAAUUUUGGAUGCCUUAGCGAUUCCUAAGGUGACCUUGAGAGUCUUCGAUCUGUCAUUGAAGAGAACAAUGAAAUCUGCAAGUAGGGUGGGAUAGCUAUUGUUGGAAUACAUCAGCUAAUGUAACUUUCCUGAAAAUGGUAUGAGCUAUGACUCCAUGUCUCCAUUAAUGAAAUAGUCACAUGGCAUAGUGAGACGGUGAGACCACCCAACUCUUCUCUUCCAUUUAACUUAACCAGGGUUAAGUUAAGUUACAUCACUCCUUUAAGUACCUACUGCUACGCUGCACUUCUCCACUCUCAAGCCAACUCUCAACAAGCAUCUUCAGAGGAGAACUGUUAUGAGUUUUAGUCCCAUAUUUGAGGAAGUUUGGAGCAAUGUUCAGAAACUUGCGCUGAGAGUUUAGGGUGAUAUAAGAAGAUUAUAAGCCAAAGAGCGUACCAGUUCUGCCAUGGAUAUGAACCCCAAUUGACGUCAACGCCUUGGAAAAAAACCCCUCUCUAUUCUGCCUUGACCUGACCCCAGGUUGGUCUGACAGACCUCAAAACAAAACCAAAAAAAAAAAACAAAACAAAACAAAAAAAACAAAAAAAAAACAAGAGAAGAGAACAGGGGAAGAAGGGGAAGAAGAAGAAAUUCAGAAGAAGAAACAAAAGUGGAGAAAUGAAGAAACUAAAGGAAAGAAGAAGAAGAAGAAGAAGAAGAAGAAGAGAGAUGGAAGGAAACAAGAGGCAAAGAAGAGAGAACUGCAUAUCUAGGGUGCCAAAAUGAAAACCAAUCGACUCUUCACAAAUUGUUCGGAGUCUAGCAUGUCUUUCUUCUCAAUCAAUUUAGUACGUAUAAAAUUCAGGAAACAAAGAAACCUGCAGCAUUGCACGGCACUUUUUGUUAGUUAUCAAUUAUAUACAAAUUAUCUGUUUCUUUCAAGCCAUGACUCCCUGGUUUAACAACACAGCCAAAGCUAAAGCAAUAGCACUAAGGAUGAAGGCACUGCAAAUGAAAAGAGGUGAAAAAACAGUGUCGAAACCGGUUGUUGAAGAGACUGAUGCACCACCUAAAUCUGCCUUCACCAAACAUGAUCAAUAGUAUGAGAUAUCAGUGUUUUUUGGGUUCCAUUUGUUGAUCAUGCCAACUGCUAUAGGUUAUUGAACUGAUGUUUACUAAGUUUAGCUCCAUUAUGGAUGUAUGUAUAGCUGCAGUAACAGAUUAAUCAAAUAUUGGUAUUUUUAUGAAUGGAUUCCAUAGUUGAUGAA